GAUGUAUAGACAAAACGGAAAUAAAGGUGUAGGCAAACCUCCCAACUACAGAAUGGGACUUGCCAGCUACUAUCAGAUAACCAACCACCUGAAAUAAUUCUUGGCCUUCCCAGUCUCCCCUUGAGUGUCCUUGGUUUUAUUUGUAGUUAGUUGCUAGUCCUUGAAAAAGGUAUUCAUAGAAAAAACCUCUUUUUCAGCUUGUCCUUGAUCCUGUUCUUCUUACCCUUCUAUUUUAGACCACGUUGCAUACAUUAUAGAGCUGAUAGGCAGCAUUCCAAGACGCUGUGUCCUCAGUAGGAAAUAGUCACAGGAUUUCUUCAAUAGCAGAGGUAGUAUUGGUAACAUGAGUUUUCAUCUAGGCCCCAGGGAUACAACUUCAGGAAAAAGAGCAUUCACACCAAGAUUGUUUUUAGUUAUUACUCAAGUCCUCCCUGAGUAGGUGCCUGAUUUUUUAUGUUUUUCUGGAUUCUCUGUUAGAUGAAUAGAGUCCUUUUCUCAUUUAGGGCAGAAAGAAAGCCUGCAAUGCUUUACAAGGAGGUGUGCAUGCUACUCUUUCUGCCAGUGUCUAGAACUGCAUUUCUUACAUAUGUCUUCUCUUUUCCCCCUCUUGACACAUUUGAAACAUACAGAUCACAUUGCAUUAAUCAUAAAACUUCUGGGGAAGGUGCCUCACAAGCUCAUUGUGGCAGGAAAAUAUUCCAAGAAUUUUUCACCAAAAAAGGUGACCUGAAACACAUCACAAAGCUGAAACCCUGGGGCCUUUUUGAGGUUCUAGUGGAGAAGUAUGAGUGGUCUCAGGAAGAGGCAGCUGGCUUCACGGGUUUCUUACUGCCCAUGUUGGAGCUGAUCCCCGAGAAGAGAGCCACCGCUGCUGAUUGUCUCCGGCACCCUUGGCUCGACUUGUAACCCCAGCCCAGCCCAGCACUGCAGCAGAGAUCACACACAGGCCCUCCGCCCCUCCCCUCCAAGCAUUUCCCUGUUCCUUUUUCAGGGAGAAGCUCUUCCUUCAAGGGUUUCUAGAUUUUUUAUUUUUAACCCAACAUGUUUGUUUGGGUUUGCUUAUUGACCCUGUGGAGACCCCACUCCCCCAGCUGUGGGGCAUCCUAGGUGAUGUUGGCCUUGAUUGGGCUCCGCCAAAGACUAGUGGACUAAAAUGUGAAACAGCCUCUCACCCUGUUCCUUGUCUUUCCAUUAGGACAUCCUUUAAAUUGUAAGCAUCCUCUUUAAUAAGAGCCGUGAAGAUGUAUGAGCUCAUCUUUAAUUCACUGACUCUGAGAGUCCAUUUUCUUAGUGCACAUCCUAUUGCCAGCGUAAGGAUGAGCAGGGAAUGGGGUUACUUCUGUGUACAGCAGAGACAUAAAACUUGCCCUAUCCAGGCUGCAUCAUCUUUCUGGAUUGUUUCUGUUCUCUGCGUUCACAUUUUUUCCUGCAGCUUUGAAGCAACUAUCUUUUUAAAUGUGCUGUAUAAACACCAAAUUUGGGUGCCAUUUUAUCACUGUUCAAAGCACUGUCAAAUUCCUUAUAUCCUUUAAUAAUUCUUGAAUUCAAGAUCCUUGAAUCUUCAGUCUGAUUUUUGAUGGAACAGAACCAUUGACUAGUAAUUUCUUCAGAACCACAGAUAUUCUGCAAAGUCCUUUCCUAUGUGUCUUCUGUUACCCUAACAGCAAAGUUACAUUAACUGGCUGUUUGGUUUUGGUUUUGGUUUUUUUAAUCCCUGGCUGGCACUUUACUCAUUGCACUUGAGUUUAUUGCCCCAUAACUAAAGAAUACGAAUAGGUCCAGAAAGGAGAUAAGGAUUUCAUAGGUUUCUAGCCUAAGAAGAAACUUCCUGAUUCUUUUCCAGUUAUUCCCCUACUUUUGUGUAGUCUUUUCCUUGACCUUGUCUAAAAUUUAGCCUUAAAACAGUUUUCUUCUGUGGCUUUGCGUUUCUUAUGUCCUCAGAGGCUUCUGGUCUUAAACAAAAUUCCAGGAUAAAAGAACCAAGGGGAAGGGUGGGAUGGCACUUCCUUUUUUUUUUUUUCUAGUUUAAGACUAGCCAUUCUCUGCUGCUAUUUCCUUGUAUAAUGGAAGUUUUUAACUGCAAUUUUGAGAUGAUUGAAGUGUACUUGAUGCUUUGUUUUGCUUUUUUUUUUUUUAAUGAGAAGAGGCUUUGUGAAUCUUAUUUAGGAUGGGCCUCUCCUAGACUUGCCAUAGAUGCUACAUAUUCCUUGGGUCAUAUUGAAAAGUAGAAGAGGGGCAGAAUUGGGGUCACAGCCACUUGUUCAGCACAGACCAAGUGGGCCUUGGGGUUUACAGCACUCUCCAGAAGCAGGUCCAGGACUGAUUUGCAGAAUGCUAAGGAGGUGUGACUUGAGGCUCUACUAGCAAAGCUGCUGAUGAGACUAUUGGGUAGCUAACUUUUCUGUACGGAGAUUGGAGUCCAGAUUCUGUCGUUUGUCCACCAAUAAUGACAGAGGAAGAACUGGUGUAGUAAUGGAAUCCUUUAACUCGUAAGCAUAUUACUCUGAGUAAUUAUAGCCAGCCAUUCAUCGGGUCCUUGAUUGGGUAGUCCUGAAAUCAGACAUGUUCCUGUAGAAAGAAUUUUAAGUGAGGCUGUCUAUGCACCUAUCAAGACUAAAAGAGAAUAGAUUGUAUCAAACAACGGCAGGGAAAAUCCUUCAGCAAUUCUAAUCUACUUUGGGUGUUCAGUGAUAUCCACAUCUAAAGCAAUAGCAGACUAGAACUGAAUUAUUUUCUAUGCUGUAAAACCACAAUUGUAGAAUUAAAGGAAUUCUGAUGAUAGUAAGGUGAAAUAACUAAAAUACACAUAAAUAGAAGGCCCCAUUUUAAUAAUUGACAUGAAAAGAAAUUUUAAUGAAAGAACCUGUAACUUCAUUUUGGAAAUGUUUCCCCACCAAAAAAGGGCUUUUUCUCCCUUUUGCUUAAGGAGCCAAAUUAGAAGCUGGAGAAAGAGGCAGCUGUUGUAUUUGGUCUUCCAGGUACCCCAUAUACCUUUAUUGAACUUAUAAUACCGUUAAAUUGCCAAGAUCUCACUAAAGGAUUUCUAUUUGCUGUCAGUUAAAAAUAAAAUCCCAGAUACAUUUUUAUUCUUUCUACUGGGUGCAUUGUCUGUUUUCUUUGUAAAUGCAGUACAAUAAAUGAAUUAUUUAAUAACCUA